rnacentral:rRNA from 1 species
GCGCACCAGGCGCGAAAACUUCACACUGCGCGAAAGCGCGAUGAGGGAAUCCCAAGUGCUUGCACGUAAGUGUAAGCUGUUUCUCUGUCUAAAAAGCAGAGAGAGUAAGGGCUGGGUAAGACGGGUGCCAGCCGCCGCGGUAAUACCUGCAGCUCAAGUGGUGGCCGCUAUUAUUGGGCCUAAAACGUCCGUAGCCGGUCUAGUAAAUGCCUGGGUAAAUCGUGAGGCUUAACCUUACGAAUUCCGGGUAGACUGCUAGACUUGAGACCGGGAGAGGCUAGAGGUACUCCUGGGGUAGAGGUGAAAUUCUGUAAUCCUAGGGGGACCACCAGUGGCGAAGGCGUCUAGCUAGAACGGGUCUGACGGUGAGGGACGAAGCCCUGGGGCGCAAACCGGAUUAGAUACCCCUGUAGU